rnacentral:lncRNA from 1 species
GAGGAAAAAGUCACUGGUGUUUCCUUUGUCCAAAGUCCAUUCUUCCUUGGAGCUGCAAACACUUUCUUGAAAAGAUGAGGCCUUUAUCCUUACGAACACAUUCUGCAGACUGAUUCUCUUUGGCUCAAAGAUUUCCUGUCCCGUAAUGGAAAGUAGGUGUGACGUUCUGUUUGAUAAUCCCAGGCCAGAGAUCUUGGAUGCAGGCUAUUUCAACAUGGGAAACUGAAAUCGGGCAUAUCCCUGCGGAAGAAGCUGUCUCUUAGCGAAGAAUAAAACUGUGGACUGACCCCCACCCAUUUGCGAAGAAAGUACUGGGUCUUCAGCUUUCAUUGUUCAGCCGGUGGUCUUUGUGGACAACACCAGGGGCCCCUCCUGCUGAAGACUGUCUGGACUUCCUGAUUUUCACUCCUGUAUAAACCCCCUCCCCCAUUACUACCUUUGUCUCCUUGGGGAAAAAAAAUGUUUUUCACUUAAGCAAAAUAAUAACUACCCAGUAUUUGUUUCUGGAGUGAAAUUGUAAACUUCAUUGUACAUUCUUCCUGGCUUUGAUGCUUAUCGUGAAGAGUUCAGUGAAAAUAAAUUGUUUUUAUGAAAGCAGAGAAACCAUUUGAUAAACACGCUGUCUCUGAAAAUCGUUCCUGCAAAAGAGGUCAUUCUUUCACUUUAAAAGAAAUAGAAUAUAUUUCAGAAAACAGGCAGGACAACAUACAAAUUUUUUUUUAAGGCAGAGUGUAAAUACAGUGAAAAUUGCACACCUCCUGAUUGUGUGGAGUGUUUUGGUUUCUAAAAU